UAUCUCUGUAGAGUCUGCAUAUCAAUAAGCGGAGGAAAAGAAACUAACUAGGAUUCCCUCAGUAACGGCGAGUGAAGCGGGAAGAGCUCAAAUUUGAAAUCUUCAAGGUUCUACCUUGACGAAUUGUAGUUUAAAGAAGUGUUUUCUGUUGAAGUUUCGGUAAAAGUUCUUUGGAAAUAGGACAUCAUAGAGGGUGAGAAUCCCGUAUUUGACCAGUUAUUUUCCAGCUGUGUGAUACACUUUCAAAGAGUCGGAUUGUUUGGGAAUGCAGUCCAAAAGUGGGUGGUAAAUUUCAUCUAAAGCUAAAUAUUGGCGAGAGACCGAUAGCGAACAAGUACCGUGAGGGAAAGAUGAAAAGAACCUUUGAAAAGAGAGUUAAACAGUACGUGAAAUUGUCAAAAGGGAAGCGUUUGACACCAGUGUUGUUUUCUCGAAAAUCAAUUAAAAAUGGUGGGAUUUUGUGUUGUAUUGACUUUAUCAGCUUUCUGCACUUUUUUCCUAUCUUUUUUAAUGCACUUUUCGUUUAACAAGUCAACAUCAAUUUCUUUUGUUGUAAAAGGGUCAUUGGAAGGUGGCUUUCUUUUCGGAGAAAGUGUUUAUAGCCUUUGACUUCUGCAAUCGGAGAGAUUGAGGUCUGCAGCGUAGAUCCUUCGGGGUUAGAUGCAUUUGUGCUAAGUUAUAGCCUUUCAUAGACAACUUGUUGACUAUGAUCAGUCAUGUAGCUUACUCGCUUAUGUCAUUUUACCUACGCUUAGGAUGUUGAUCUCUCACAGUCGAGC
rnacentral:rRNA from 1 species